GCAACGUGUUGAUGUUGCGACACUCUUCUCGGAUUUCGAUUCCGAGGGUCGGGCGUUCGAAUCGCUCCGAGUGCACCA
rnacentral:tRNA from 1 species